GGAAGUCAUCGUACACAAUUACAACCAAAUUGGAUAAUAAUUGCGCCCUAUAGUGACUCACGAAAUAAAAUUGGGAGCUAAAACACAUAAGAACUGCGCCCUCUGGAGGUUCAAGAAGUAUAAUCGGUAGAUUGGAUUAUAUGGGAAGUAUGUCAGGUUAUGAACCGGUUAUGACCAUACUUGGCACAUACUUACUUGUUGGAAGACAAAACAAACCACGUCAUGCAAAAUUUCAGCCAAAUCAGGUAAUAGCUGCGCCCUUUAAUCGUUCAAGAAAUCAAGAUCCGAGAUCGACUUGUAUGGGAACCGAUUAAUAUGAUAACCGAUUUGAAUCAUACUUAGCACAGUUAUUUGAAGUCAAAGCAAGAAACUUCAUGCAAAAUUUCAGCCCAAUCAGAUAAGUAUGGCGCUAACUAUAUAUGUUGGGAAAUACUUUUACUUUUAACUUUUAAAAAAGUUAAAACAGUUCGAUUUGGAAUCACUAUUCUCUACUUGGAUCUGCUGGAGCGCCUCUUCUGAUCGAUAAAUUAUUUUGCGAUUCAUAUUCAACAGGGAGUGUGUACAACUCUAUCAAUAAACAAAUAAAAAAAGUUAAUUAGCAAUAAAAUAAUACAUAAACUAUUCGACAAACAGAAUUCUGUCCUAUUUGUCGAAUGCAAAUAUGAACUAUUAAAAGGUGGCCAACCCACAACUGUUGUGCAAUUCAACAAAUAACAAAAUACAAACAAAAUGUAACUACAAUAAAUAUUGUAUGUUUUACUACGAAA